GAUGAACGCUGGCGGCGUGCCUAAUACAUGCAAGUCGAACGAGUUCUGAUUAUUGAAAGGUGCUUGCAUCUUGAUUUAAUUUUGAACGAGUGGCGGACGGGUGAGUAACACGUGGGUAACCUGCCCUUAAGUGGGGGAUAACAUUUGGAAACAGAUGCUAAUACCGCAUAAAUCCAAGAACCGCAUGGUUCUUGGCUGAAAGAUGGCGUAAGCUAUCGCUUUUGGAUGGACCCGCGGCGUAUUAGCUAGUUGGUGAGGUAACGGCUCACCAAGGCAAUGAUACGUAGCCGAACUGAGAGGUUGAUCGGCCACAUUGGGACUGAGACACGGCCCAAACUCCUACGGGAGGCAGCAGUAGGGAAUCUUCCACAAUGGACGCAAGUCUGAUGGAGCAACGCCGCGUGAGUGAAGAAGGCUUUCGGGUCGUAAAACUCUGUUGUUGGAGAAGAAUGGUCGGCAGAGUAACUGUUGUCGGCGUGACGGUAUCCAACCAGAAAGCCACGGCUAACUACGUGCCAGCAGCCGCGGUAAUACGUAGGUGGCAAGCGUUAUCCGGAUUUAUUGGACGUAAAGCGAGCGCAGGCGGUUUUUUAAGUCUGAUGUGAAAGCCCUCGGCUUAACCGAGGAAGUGCAUCGGAAACUGGAAAACUUGAGUGCAGAAGAGGACAGUGGAACUCCAUGUGUAGCGGUGAAAUGCGUAGAUAUAUGGAAGAACACCAGUGGCGAAGGCGGCUGUCUGGUCUGUAACUGACGCUGAGGCUCGAAAGCAUGGGUAGCGAACAGG
rnacentral:rRNA from 2 species